rnacentral:rRNA from 1 species
GUGGAUUAGAUACCCUGGUAGUCCACGCUGUAAACGAUGAUGACUAACCGUCGGCGAUACACUGUCGGUGGCCAAGCGAAAGCGAUAAGUCAUCCACCUGGGGAGUACGACCGCAAGGUUGAAACUCAAAGGAAUUGACGGGGGCCCGCACAAGCGGAGGAACAUGUGGUUUAAUUCGAUGAUACGCGAGGAACCUUACCCGGGCUCGAACGGCAGGGGAAUGAAUCAGAGAUGGUUCAGUCUUCGGACUCCUGUCGAGGUGCUGCACGGUUGUCGACAGCU